UGGAGCAACUGUAGAUGCCUGGCUGUAUUUCCCAGGCAUAAAGGAGGAUUCGACAUUUCACUGGAAUGACUCUUAUGGCGGCCAGAGUGGAUCGAACUCAUCAAGUCAAGAAAUAAGAACGUCGCCGAGAAUAAGAGUGCUGCGCAAUCCAUAACGCACAGUGCACAGUGUACUGUAUACACACAUAACAUGCUGUGUCUCCCGCUCCAACAUUUGCGUAGAAAUGUUAUAUUAGCCAUCGCCAAUGUAAACCAAUUUCCCGUUUUCCCUGUUUCUUUCUUGUAUAUACAUUGCUGUAAUACAUACAGUGCAUAGAGUACAA